rnacentral:rRNA from 1 species
CCUGGCUCAGGACGAACGCUGGCGGCGCGCCUAACACAUGCAAGUCGAACGAGAGAUGAGGAGCUUGCUCUUCAAAUCGAGUGGCGAACGGGUGAGUAACGCGUGAGGAACCUGCCUCAAAGAGGGGGACAACAGUUGGAAACGACUGCUAAUACCGCAUAAGCCCACGGCUCGGCAUCGAGCAGAGGGAAAAGGAGCAAUCCGCUUUGAGAUGGCCUCGCGUCCGAUUAGCUGGUUGGUGAGGUAACGGCCCACCAAGGCGACGAUCGGUAGCCGGACUGAGAGGUUGAACGGCCACAUUGGGACUGAGACACGGCCCAGACUCCUACGGGAGGCAGCAGUGGGGAAUAUUGCACAAUGGGGGAAACCCUGAUGCAGCGACGCCGCGUGGAGGAAGAAGGUCUUCGGAUUGUAAACUCCUGUUGUUGAGGAAGAUAAUGACGGUACUCAACAAGGAAGUGACGGCUAACUACGUGCCAGCAGCCGCGGUAAAACGUAGGUCACAAGCGUUGUCCGGAAUUACUGGGUGUAAAGGGAGCGCAGGCGGGAGAACAAGUUGGAAGUGAAAUCCAUGGGCUCAACCCAUGAACUGCUUUCAAAACUGUUUUUCUUGAGUAGUGCAGAGUAGGCGGAAUUCCCGGUGUAGCGGUGGAAUGCGUAGAUAUCGGGAGGAACACCAGUGGCGAAGGCGGCCUACUGGGCACCAACUGACGCUGAGGCUCGAAAGUGUGGGUAGCAAACAGGAUUAGAUACCCUGGUAGUCCACACCGUAAACGAUGAUUACUAGGUGUUGGAGGAUUGACCCCUUCAGUGCCGCAGUUAACACAAUAAGUAAUCCACCUGGGGAGUACGACCGCAAGGUUGAAACUCAAAGGAAUUGACGGGGGCCCGCACAAGCAGUGGAGUAUGUGGUUUAAUUCGACGCAACGCGAAGAACCUUACCAAGUCUUGACAUCCCUUGACGAACAUAGAAAUAUGUUUUCUCUUCGGAGCAAGGAGACAGGUGGUGCAUGGUUGUCGUCAGCUCGUGUCGUGAGAUGUUGGGUUAAGUCCCGCAACGAGCGCAACCCUUAUGGUCAGUUACUACGCAAGAGGACUCUGGCCAGACUGCCGUUGACAAAACGGAGGAAGGUGGGGAUGACGUCAAAUCAUCAUGCCCUUUAUGACUUGGGCUACACACGUACUACAAUGGCGUUAAACAAAGAGAAGCAAGACCGCGAGGUGGAGCAAAACUCAGAAACAACGUCCCAGUUCGGACUGCAGGCUGCAACUCGCCUGCACGAAGUCGGAAUUGCUAGUAAUCGUGGAUCAGCAUGCCACGGUGAAUACGUUCCCGGGCCUUGCACACACCGCCC